UCUCGACGUUCUAGCAGGAUUCUAGCAGAAUUCUUAGAGAGCUGGAUAUUCUUAGAGCAUUCUAGCAGAAAUGUUCCACCGUUCUAGCAGGAUUCUGACAGAACCAGCUCUGCUAGAAUAUUUCGUGACUGGGUCUAGACUUAGCCAAAUUUUGUCGAUUUAUGAUUAACCCCAACGUUUACUAAGUUUCAGUUUGAGUGUAAAGAAAAAAGUUUUGAUGGGCGAAGGAGGCGGAUUGCGGCAAUAAAAAUUCCGAUAUUAGGCGACCCCCUGCGAGACUUUUUGCCGGGCACUUUUUGGAACCAGUUCACGUUCAAGAACCCGAAAAAGCCAAAAACGGAUGGUGCAAAGGUGGCGAGCAGGUGCUGAGGCGGAAGAUUAUCGCGUGGCGCAGUAGAAUGGCGACUACGUGCCGAGCGGAUCGUGCAGGUUGCCGGUGCACUCCCUCACCAAGGAUCAUUGCACCGAGGACAAGCGGUUGAGCUUUAGAUUCCUUAAGACAAAAACGCAAAUGCAUGCGUGAGGCCAAGGCCAAGGAUCGGGUGGUCGCCAAAAAAGCUGCCGGCGGUGAUCAGAAUAACGUUUCCGACCUGGAAUCCCAGUACGAGGACGAGUUCGAUUCGUAUCUGGAACGGCUGGACGUGCCUGGACGAAGACCAACCAGCGUGCACCAAAAAGAGGGGAAAUUUGCCGAGAGGGGAAUUCGUCACGUAACGUCACGUAAAUUUUGGUUUGACACCACGUAUAGAAACCUUAGGACAAAGUUCUUUGUCGAAAAUCUGCCAAAGCCGAGAAGACAGCCGCGGAAGAGGUAAAUCUGGCGAUAAAUUAGUUAUAAUUUAUAGCAUACUUUGUUGAAUAAAAUGUAAAUUAAAACAAGAUUUAAAUA